CGCAUCUCUACCGGGACCUGCUGUUAAUCUCCAGCCCAGCCCCCAUCAGAACCCAGACCGAUAGCUGAGAAUGGAGCUGUCUGUCUUUCUGAGCCCCCUGAUUGUUUUGUUAUUGCUAAUGGGCUGAUUUCCAGUUAUGUAACCUCCUCUCUGUUAGAUGAAAUCUCAUUAUUUUACUGUGCUGUGCACAUCAGGUCUGGUUCACGUUGAGCUACCUGAGAGGAGCUGGGAAUGUGCUGUUUCUCAUCAUUUUCACCCAGCAAGAGAACUGGAGAGAGAGAGCUACACCCAAACCAAUUAUGGUCAGGCCCUCUGGGCUGUUACAUGAUAUUCCAGGAGACAGUGGAGUGAAGCGGACCUCAGCGUCCCAGAGGUGUGCUGCCAAGACAGUGUGCUUUCCUUGCUUGGAAGUCUUGGCAGCUUCCUACCUCCUCUAAGAAGAUUUUCCAGGCAAAACCCAGAUCUGCUUUAGUGACUUCAGAAGAAACAGAUCUGAGGGAGGAUGAGAAGCCAGUAGACAAUGGUUAUGAGGAUGAGGGUGGCUAUCCAAAGGAUUGA